CCUUGGGCUCUCCUCUUCAAAUGAUGAUGACCGCUCAAAGCAGU
rnacentral:SRP_RNA from 1 species